AUGAAUUAAAUAUCGAACGCCAAAACCUAUUUAAUAACAGGGGUAGUACAGUAACCGAAAAGGAAAUUAUUCUACAUGCAAAAGCUGUACUAAUUUUGUGUGAGUAAUUUAGAAAUAUAUGAGGUCUUGCAAAUCAAAUAAUUUGAUGUAGGUAAUUCUUAAUUUUCAUAAAACAGUUCUGAACUGCUAUGACUGUGUGGAAACGAAGAAGCUUGGUAAUGAAAUAUAGAGAAAUUUGAAGAGUUCUCGUUGCCAGAAAUUUAAGGUAAAUGGAUUUUGUGAUAUUCAGGCAAACUGACUCCAGAGUAAGAUAAAACUUCAUAAAUUCUUUCCUAUGGUGCUUUGCUGAGACCUUUGGAUUUUAACUCGUAAACAAGUUCGCUUAAUGUGCGAUUUAUAAAUAUUUACAUAGAACUGCCCGGUCAAUAAGGUUGUUUUCUUCCUGAAAGUACAAACUGGCACGGUCGAAUUACAAUUAAAUUCUUUGGUAAGUUCUAAUGAACACUUGUGUAAAUUUUUACGAAAAUUAGCAUGUAUCUGUUACUUGGAUUUCCUUGUAAGAUAUUUCUAGGCGAGGCAUUUGAAAUUCGUACACACUUUGCCGGAUACCUCGUGUGCUAACGUCGA